CAAGAAGAAGGAGAAUCUCUGCGCGACUACAUAGCACGUUUCAACAUGGCCACACUGAAAGUGUGCAACUUAGAUGAGCCAUUGCCAUGUAGACUUUGAAGCAUGGCCUCCGUAAUGAGCAUCUCAUCUACUCCCUCAACAAGACGUAUCCGAGAGAUUAUGUCAAUCUCUUGGCCUCGGCCCGUAAGCACAUGCAGACCAAAGAGGGUC
rnacentral:lncRNA from 1 species